UAUCGUUUAUUUGAUAGCGCCUUACUACUUGGAUAACCGUGGUAAUUCUAGAGCUAAUACAUGCUAAAAACCCCGACUUCGGAAGGGGUGUAUUUAUUAGAUACAAAACCAAUGCCCUUCGGGGCUCUUUGGUGAUUCAUGAUAACUAUACGAAUCGCACGGCCUUGCGCCGGCGAUGGUUCAUUCAAAUUUCUUCCCUAUCAACUUUCGAUGUUUGGGUAUUGGCCAAACAUGGUUGCAACGGGUAACGGAGGGUUAGGGCUCGACCCCGGAGAAGGAGCCUGAGAAACGGCUACUACA
rnacentral:rRNA from 1 species